rnacentral:rRNA from 1 species
UACGGAGGGUGCGAGCGUUAAUCGGAAUUACUGGGCGUAAAGCGCGCGUAGGCGGUUUGUUAAGUCAGCUGUGAAAGCCCCGGGCUCAACCUGGGAACUGCAGUUGAUACUGGCCGACUGGAGUGCGAGAGGGGGAGGUAGAAUUCCAUGUGUAGCGGUGAAAUGCGUAGAUAUAUGGAGGAAUACCGGUGGCGAAGGCGGCCUCCUGGCUCGACACUGACGCUGAGGUGCGAAAGCGUGGGGAUCAAACAGG